UGGGGCGUAGCCAAGUGGUAAGGUCAGCGGACUUUUGAUUCCGCCAUUCCCUGGUUCGAAUCCAGGCGCCCCAGCCA
rnacentral:tRNA from 1 species